rnacentral:lncRNA from 1 species
GGUGUUCUUCCGAACUCCGGUGUCCCGCCUCGUCUUCUCCGUAGAGAUCUUGCCCUCACCAACCUUAGGUUUCACCGUGGAUCCGUGCACCGGGUCACAGGCUCAAUGUCGUGCUCGUCCGCCGGCGGCAUCCUCCUGAUCCUCCAAAUCGCCAGACGGUCGCAGUAGCGACAUGGCAACCCUCACCAGCCACCAGCGUCGGUGGCCGGAGACCUCGCCUAUCGCAAGAUGGAGGAAGGAGCGUGCGAUCCUCCACCUGCCAAGGAAACACGCAGCGACUUUCUGUACAUCGCAUUCGCGGUUCAAAAACUAGCUAGAGACCCUUUCCCUCUACCGUACGCCCCUCCCAUGCAUCAGCAACUCCAAAAGCUCCUUUAAAAUUACUCCAAAAUCUUAUUUAUGGAAAAAAUAAAAAAAAUUUACCUCCAAC